rnacentral:lncRNA from 1 species
UUUUUUUUUUUUUGGUCUGUAAAAUUGUACUUUUAAUUUUUACUUUCUUUUGUUGUUCUGGGACUACUUAGAGAAGUUUUUCUUAAUUUCCAAUUUUCUCAUUUUAAAACCCAAUUUGUUAUUUUUUAGGGGGUUAGAGUGAGUCAUCUUUCAAUCAUUAGUUUUCAAGUAUUUAAUAAAUAUUGUUAAUUUAACCAACUGUUUCAUUCUAAGCAUUUUAGAUUUCCUUAAUUAAUUAAUUAAUUAAUUUUAUUGCUAGUGGUACAAUCACGGCUCAUUGCAGCUUCUACCUCCUGGGCUCAAGCAAUUCUCCCAUCUCAGCCUCCUGAGGAGCUGGGACUACAGUCACACAGCACCAUGUCCAGUUAAUUUUUUCCCUUUUUGUAGAGACAGAGUCUUGCUAUGUUGUCCAGGCUGGUCUUAAACUCCUGGCCUUAAGUAAUCCUCCUGUCUCAGUCUCCCAAAGUAUAGAAUUUUUAAGGUUUUCUUUGUGGACAAGUUUGCAUUAACUUUUGCAAAUGUUUCAUUGGUGAAAAGAAUGUAUAUUAUCACAUUCAUAUGUUAUAAUGUUCCAUAUUACCAAGCCUGUCAAUGGUAUUAUUUAAAUAUCCCAUAUCUUUUCCUUUUUAUGUAUCUUUUUUUAAGAGACAGAGUCUCACUCUGUUACCUAGGCUGGAAGAGUGCAGUAGUGCAAUCAUAGCUCACUGGUGGCUCAAACUCCUGGCCUCUUGCCUGGGACUCCCAAAGCACUGGGAUUAUAGUUAUGAGUUUUUCAUCGUGUUUGUGUGUGUGUGCGUGUGUGUGUGUAUAAAAAGACCUCACUGUGGUUUUGUGCAUGUGUGUGGUCUUUGCAUUUUAGGAAUUCUGCUUCGUACGGUUGGCUCCUUCUUUAUACAGUGCAUGAAAGUUUAUGAUUGUUAUAUCUUCUUCACAAAUUGUACUUUCUAUCAUUACAUAAUGUUUCUCUUUUUUUCUGUUUCUCCUUUUGGAAUUAAAUUCCAUCUUGUCAAAUAUCAAUAUUGUCAUCACUUUUGAUUUUCUUUUCUUUGAAUUUGCCUACGUAUCUUGACAUGUCAUUUCAUUUUCAACAUAACUUUUGUCACUUUGUUUGGAAGACUUUCCCAAAAUAACAGAUGAAUUUUUAAACAUGAUUUUAUUUUACCGUUGUUUUCCCUUUUCUUAA